rnacentral:rRNA from 1 species
UACAGAGGGUGCAAGCGUUAAUCGGAAUUACUGGGCGUAAAGCGUGCGUAGACGGUUGCGUAAGUCAGAUGUGAAAGCCCCGGGCUCAACCUGGGAAUUGCAUUUGAGACUGCGUAGCUAGGGUGCGGAAGAGGGAAGCGGAAUUUCCGGUGUAGCGGUGAAAUGCGUAGAUAUCGGAAGGAACACCGGUGGCGAAGGCGGGUCUCUGGGCAACACUGACGCUCAUGCACGAAAGCGUGGGGAGCAAACAGG